rnacentral:lncRNA from 1 species
UUAGGAUCUGAGUCUUGAUUUUUUUUAUAUGAAAUUGUUAAUGGGGGUGAGCUACACUAGCCCAAUAAGAAUAUUACCCUACUCAUCGAUACGAAAACUGAAAAUUUGGUAAAAAAACAUAAAACGACUAAUAAAGCUCUUAAUUUAAGUAAAUUCAUUUAUUCCAAAGAAAACCAUUUAUUACAUACUUACCGCUAUGGGAUUUUCAAAAUUAAUCUAUAGAGACAAUAACUCAAAUAACAUUAUGAUUUCUUAUACAAGUGAGUAAGAACAACAAUUUUUUCUCUUUUUAUCUGUUUACUGGUACCUCUGUAGGUCCAUAGGGAUGUCCCCCUACACGUGAACCUAAUAUCUAAACUUGUCAAUUAUUCGGUCGUCCUCAUAUCUCAUCCUAUAUGAGCACCAAAAAUGUCAUCCCUCGAUACACCGUCUGCUAUGAGGGUGAACCGGACCGUCCUCAUAACCUGUCCGAUAUGAGCGCCAAAAU